NNNNNNNNNNNNNNNNNNNNNNNNNNNNNNNNNNNNNNNNNNNNNNNNNNNNNNNNNNNNNNNNGGAGGGAGCUGGGGGGAGGGGGGCUCGCGGAAGGUGGAGAACUGGCCCUGGGAGGGAGGACGUGACACCCCUCCCGGUGGAUGGCAGGGAGGCACUUGAUAAACUCCCAGGGUCCAGGUGUGGGGGUGGAGGCAGCAUUCCUUUGCCCGAAUUCUGCUCCCAGGUCACACUCGGCCUGGGGUCUCCAGAGGGGAGAUACGCAACGUGGGGAAGGUAAGGAGCCAUCUAAAACCACAGUGCGUCUGCCGCUGGCCAGCCGAGCGGUAGGGGAACAUUCCAGGGAGUGAGCAAGGAACCUAUCCUCGGAUGGAAGGGCCAGGCGUCCCUUGGAGACCCAGAGAACGAGCAACAAGUAGACCCCCUCCUCCCCCGAACUGCUGUCCCAAGGGUCUGUAUCUGAAGAAAGACAGCUGGGGUUCCAGGUAGGGCUGGCUGCUUGCAUUUCCUCUGGGCUGUGUGUGUGUGUGUGUGUGUGUGUGUGUUGCCCCAGGAUUUGCCAGAUGGAAGCACAGCUGGAGAUAGAGGUGAGAGCAAAGGAUUGGGGUUUCAGCUGCCUACCUCCUUUUCCUGAAAAUCCCCUGGAAGUCCGCUCCUGCUAGCAGGUGGGUGUGAUUUUGCCUGGUGUCAAGGAUCAAAUGGCCAGAACCUAUAUAAUCAGUGGUGCUAAAUCCUAUCAGGUUGGAAGGAAUGGAAAGGUCCAGGGGCCACCCCAGUGCACACAGCCAAGCUGGGACAGAGCCACAAGAAGGCGCCUUGUUCAGCCAACCUGGUGUCCCCAGGGCAGGCCAAGCUUAAGUACUCCUUGGAAGGCAUUUGAGAAGAAAGCAGCCUCGGGAAUGUCCCUCCUGGUAGAAUGUUCUCGACGGGUCAGCUCUGCAGCGGGAUGCAGGAUCCCCACAGAGACGAGAAAACUACAGAAGUCGGUCCAUACAGAGAGGACUUUUGGGAUUCAGCUACCAGUUGAUAUGAGCCUUGGGAUGGAUUUGACUUGCUGGGUGGCCUUUGGAAAACCAGGAGGUCCUCUGUGAUGUGAGAAUUCCCUUACCUCCAAGGCUGAGGCUGCUUCUCGGAGAUGCAAGAAUGGAGACCCUCUUUGGAUCCUGAGAAACCUGUGCCCUGUCCUGAAACCAGCUCCUGAGAAGGUGAGGGACACCUCCUACCCCCCAGCGCUGUCCACUGAUUCCCCCACACGGGAGAAAGGAAGACCUCAGUGGAGCCCGAGCCGGUGAAUUCAACAAGGAACUGUGCACCCGAAAAACCUCGGUUGGGGUUACUGGAUGCAAAAUCCUGAGUCUGGAGGCUGUUGACAAGGUUCUCCCCCUUCUUCAUAGACUACCAAAAAAAGAAAAGCUGGUAGAUGCUGAGGUCACAUGUGAAGCAAGUCCUACUUACCUACCCAGUGUUACUGGGUUAUUCCAUUUUCACUCCCCCUGCCUGAAUGGACAGCUGACCCUGACAUUUCCCAUACAAGCUUUUCUCUGCUUUCCUAAUCUGAUGGGAUAAUGAUGUCAUAAAGAAAUAACUAAAACAGUAGGUGCUUAAUAAAUGCUUUCUGGUGUGAAAUAAGGAAGACAGUCACGGGACAGCCUCCAAACUCUUCCUUACCCUCCAUCAAUUUUUUGAUAGCCAGGUUUGUAAUAGGAGUACUCUCUCCUUUAGCACUGAAUCAGGGGUUCCUUUCUCUUAUUGUGUUUGCUUUCCAUGAGACACACCUACCCCUAGUCUUUUCGUCACCUAAGGCCUGACCCCUCCGGGUAGGCUGAGCAGAGAUUCCUGGAGCACAUCUGACCUGUCCAGUCCCUCUGCUUAAAGACACAAAUUUCCCUCUCACAUGAAAAAAGCAGGUCUGAUUCAAAUCUACCCAAUGAGUAAAAAAUGGUGCCCAGGACCUGAGGCAUCGGCUCCUGAUUUAAUGUUACGUCAUCUCCCUUCUCCAUAGGGCAUGACAGCUGCCCCACAGUCCCACCACUCCCCAUCCAUUCUCCGUAUUAAUUGCCUUCUCUCAAUGCUCUUUAUUGUGGGGGCACCUGGGUGGCUCAGCGGGUUAAGCCUCUGCCUUCGGCUCAGGUCAUGAUCUCAGGGUCCUGGGAUCAAGCCCCACGUCGGGUUCUCUGCUCAGCGGGGAGCCUGCUUCCUCCUCCCUCUCUCUCUGCCUGCCUCUCUGCCUACUUGUGAUUUCUCUCCAUCAAAUUAAAAAAUAA
rnacentral:lncRNA from 1 species